GGGACAGAAGCUCUAUUCGCUGACCUGUCAUAUUUACCUGUGCAAGCUAUUCAGAUUGCUUUCACGACGGUUGUAUUCCCAUGUCUUCUUUUGCAAUAUACUGGUCAAGCUGCCUAUAUAGCCACGCACAAAGACAAAGUCUCCCACUCCUUCUAUUUUUCUCUUCCAGAGCGUAUACUUUGCCCGACAU